CUAAGUGCAUGUGGUGGAUGCCUUGGCGACUACAGGCGAUGAAGGACGCGUAAGCCUGCGAUAAGCUUCGGGGAGCUGGCAAUAGAGCUUUGAUCCGGAGAUUUCCGAAUGGGGGAACCCACCCGUAAGGGUACUCCUGGCUGAAUACAUAGGUCAGGUAGAGCGAACCGAGUGAACUGAAACAUCUAAGUAGCUCGAGGAAAAGAAAUCAACCGAGAUUCCCAUAGUAGUGGCGAGCGAAUUGGGAAGAGCCUUCAUGAUUUAGCAUUCUUGUUAGUGGAACAGUCUGGAAAGUCUGGCCAUAGUGGGUGAUAGCCCCGUACGCGAAAACAAGAGUGUGGAACUAGGCAUGAGACAAGUAGGGCGGGACACGUGAAAUCCUGUCUGAACAUGGGGGGACCAUCCUCCAAGGCUAAAUACUCGUAGUCGACCGAUAGUGAACCAGUACCGUGAGGGAAAGGCGAAAAGAACCCCGGGAGGGGAGUGAAAUAGAUCCUGAAACCGCAUGCAUACAAACAGUGGGAGCCUCGCAAGGGGUGACUGCGUACCUUUUGUAUAAUGGGUCAGCGACUUACGUUCCGUUGCGAGCUUAACCGAAUAGGGGAGGCGAAGCGAAAGCGAGUCUUAAUAGGGCGCAUAGUAGCGGGGCGUAGACCCGAAACCGGAUGAUCUAUCCAUGGCCAGGAUGAAGGUGCGGUAACACGCACUGGAGGUCCGAACCCACUAAUGUUGAAAAAUUAGGGGAUGAGCUGUGGAUAGGGGUGAAAGGCUAAACAAAUCCGGAGAUAGCUGGUUCUCCUCGAAAGCUAUUUAGGUAGCGCCUCAUGUAUCACUCACGGGGGUAGAGCACUGUAAUGUUAGUGGGGGCCAUUGCGGCUUACUGCGGCAUAGCAAACUCCGAAUACCGUGAAGUGCGAGCAUGGGAGACAGACAUCGGGUGCUAACGUCCGGUGUCAAGAGGGAAACAACCCAGACCGACAGCUAAGGUCCCAAAUGACGUGCUAAGUGGAAAACGAUGUGGGAAGGCAUAGACAGCUAGGAAGUUGGCUUAGAAGCAGCCAUCCUUUAAAGAAAGCGUAAUAGCUCACUAGUCGAGUCGUCCUGCGCGGAAGAUGUAACGGGGCUAAGCACGUAACCGAAGCUUCGGAUAUGCACUUUGUGCAUAUGGUAGAGGAGCGUUCUGUAAGUCUGCGAAGGUGUCUGGUAAUGGAUGCUGGAGAUAUCAGAAGUGCGAAUGCUGACAUGAGUAGCGAUAAAGGGGGUGAAAAGCCCCCUCGCCGAAAACCCAAGGUUUCCUGCGCAACGUUCAUCGGCGCAGGGUGAGUCGGCCCCUAAGGUGAGGCAGAGAUGCGUAGCUGAUGGGAAACGGGUCAAAAUUCCCGUACUUUCGUUUACUGCGAUGUGGGGACGGAGAAGGUUAGGUGAGCCGGGUGUUGGAUGUCCCGGUUUAAGUGAGUAGGCAGAUCCCUUAGGCAAAUCCGGGGGGUUAAUGUCGAGACACGAUGACGGUGCUCCAUUGGAGCCGAAGUCACUGAUACCAAGCUUCCAAGAAAAGCCACUAAGCUUCAGGUAAACGAGAACCGUACCGCAAACCGACACAGGUGGGUAGGAUGAGAAUUCUAAGGCGCUUGAGAGAACUCGGGUGAAGGAACUCGGCAAAUUAGCACCGUAACUUCGGGAUAAGGUGCGCCCCGGUAGGUUGUAGUGAUUUACUCGCGAAGGCCGAUGGGGUUGCAGUGAAAUGGUGGCUGCGACUGUUUAAUAAAAACACAGCACUCUGCAAACACGAAAGUGGACGUAUAGGGUGUGACGCCUGCCCGGUGCCGGAAGGUUAAUUGAUGGGGUGCAAGCUCUUGAUCGAAGCCCCGGUAAACGGCGGCCGUAACUAUAACGGUCCUAAGGUAGCGAAAUUCCUUGUCGGGUAAGUUCCGACCCGCACGAAUGGCGUAACGAUGGCCACACUGUCUCCACCCGAGACUCAGCGAAGUUGAAAUGUUUGUGAAGAUGCAAUCUCCCCGCGGCUAGACGGAAAGACCCCAUGAACCUUUACUGUAGCUUUGCAUUGGACUGUGACGGGACUUGUGUAGGAUAGCUGGGAGCCUGUGAAGCGAGGACGCUAGUUCUCGUGGAGGCGACGUUGAAAUACCAGCCUGGUGUCGUUGCGGUUCUAACCUAGGUCCCUUAUCGGGAUCGGGGACCGUGCAUGGUGGGCAGUUUGACUGGGGCGGUCUCCUCCCAAAGUGUAACGGAGGAGUACGAAGGUCUUCUAGGUACGGUCGGACAUCGUACUGAUAGUGCAAUGGCAUAAGAAGGCUUGACUGCGAGACUGACACGUCGAGCAGGUGCGAAAGCAGGUCAUAGUGAUCCGGUGGUUCUGUAUGGAAGGGCCAUCGCUCAACGGAUAAAAGGUACUCUGGGGAUAACAGGCUGAUUCCUCCCAAGAGUUCAUAUCGACGGGGGAGUUUGGCACCUCGAUGUCGGCUCAUCACAUCCUGGGGCUGUAGCCGGUCCCAAGGGUAUGGCUGUUCGCCAUUUAAAGUGGUACGUGAGCUGGGUUUAAAACGUCGUGAGACAGUUUGGUCCCUAUCUGCCGUGGGCGCUGGAUAUUUGACGGGGGCUGCUCCUAGUACGAGAGGACCGGAGUGGACGUGCCUCUGGUGUACCGGUUAUGACGCCAGUCGUAUCGCCGGGUAGCUAAGCACGGAAGAGAUAAACGCUGAAAGCAUCUAAGCGUGAAACUUGCCUGAAGAUAAGAUAUCCCUUGCACCUUGAGUGCACUGAAGGGUCGUUGAAGACCACAACGUUGAUAGGCGGGGUGUGGAAGCGCAGUAAUGCGUUAAGCUAACCCGUACUAAUUGCCCGUGAGGCUUGAUC
rnacentral:rRNA from 1 species